rnacentral:misc_RNA from 1 species
AGGGAGACCUACUAUCACUUGCAACCCAAAGAAAAACCAAGGAUUGAUAGCCAUCCCAAGGUCCAGAGUAAGUGAGUAGAUUUGAUUUCCAAUAUUUAUCAGUGGUUGUAAAAAAACCCCUUGAAAAUAAAAUAGUAAGGAAAGAUAUCGAAAAGAUAUCCAGGGAAGGAAAACCAGGCAAGAAAAUUC